rnacentral:rRNA from 1 species
UACGUAGGUCCCGAGCGUUGUCCGGAUUUAUUGGGCGUAAAGCGAGCGCAGGUGGUUUAUUAAGUCUGGUGUAAAAGGCAGUGGCUCAACCAUUGUAUGCAUUGGAAACUGGUAGACUUGAGUGCAGGAGAGGAGAGUGGAAUUCCAUGUGUAGCGGUGAAAUGCGUAGAUAUAUGGAGGAACACCGGUGGCGAAGGCGGCGUUCUGGACUGCAACUGACACUGAGGAACGAAAGCCAGGGGAGCAAACGGG